rnacentral:rRNA from 1 species
UUUUAUGGAGAGUUUGAUCCUGGCUCAGGACGAACGCUGGCGGCGUGCCUAACACAUGCAAGUCGAACGGGGAAUUAUCGGAGAAAUUU